GAGCCCGCACAAGCAGUGGAGUAUGUGGUUUAAUUCGACGCAACGCGAAAAACCUUACCAAGGAUUGACAUCCAAGGAAUCGGAAGUAAUGUUCCGAGUGCCCCUUCGGGGGAAUCUUGAGACAGGUGGUGCAUGGUUGUCGUCAGCUCGUGUCGUGAGAUGUUGGGUUAAGUCCCGCAACGAGCGCAACCCUUACUGUUAGUUGCUACGCAAGAGCACUCUGGCAGGACUGCCGUUGACAAAACGGAGGAAGGUGGGGACGACGUCAAAUCAUCAUGCCCCUUAUAUCUUGGGCUACACACGUACUACAAUGGCGCAAACAAAGAGCAGCGACCCCGCGAGGGCGAGCAAAUCUCAUAAAAGGCGUCCCAGUUCGGACUGCAGGCUGCAAUUCGCCUGCACGAAGUUGGAAUUGCUAGUAAUCGCGAAUCAGCAUGUCGCGGUGAAUACGUUCCCGGGCUUU
rnacentral:rRNA from 1 species